rnacentral:rRNA from 1 species
UACGUAGGGAGCUAGCGUUGUCCGGAAUCAUUGGGCGUAAAGCGCGCGUAGGCGGCCCGGUAAGUCCGCUGUGAAAGUCAAAGGCUCAACCUUUGAAUGUCAGCGGAUACUGUCGGGCUCGAAUCCGGAAGAGGUGAGUGGAAUUCCUGGUGUAGCGGUGAAAUGCGCAGAUAUCAGGAGGAACACCAAUGGCGAAGGCAGCUCACUGGGACGGUAUUGACGCUGAGACGCGAAAGCGUGGGGAGCAAACAGG